UCUACGUGUUACUUCAGUGUAUGCGAGCGGUUGCAGAUACAACACGCUAAAGUGCUUGUGUUUAUUGUUAAAACAAUAAAAUAGGUUGCUUUGCUUUUUUAAAGAGAUAUGGAAGGCGACGCGAAUAAUGCAGUACGCGACCAAGUUGUUGCAGAAAUCGUCCAUAAUGAUAUCAGAAUAGGGCCUUUUCAGCGUGUGUUCGGCGCAGCGACCGGUACGGCGGUCGGCGCGGCCGUCGGCGGGAUGUCCGGCGGGCCGGCGGGCGCCGUUGUCGGCGGCGUCAUCGGCUACGUCGUCAGCCGUCAGACCGAGAGAGACGACCAUCAGGACUGACGAGCCGAACGCUGCAUACCUUUCUGCCAACAAUUUGUGGACACAUAACAUAGGGAAUUAACGAUACCUUAAAAUAAUAUAUACAUAAACAAGAUAAGACUCCGAUAAGUGAAUUUAUAUUUCUCUCUCUCAGCCAUAUUAAUAAUUAUAAAUGGUUCAGUAUGUAUUGAUAAAUUGAAGUUAAUCUACCUAUACCUACUGCC